UGGUCCAGUAUAGCUUUUGUUUGCGUUUUAUCGCGUAUUUGGGUUCUUCAACAAUAGAUAUGGUUAAGAGGUGUAGUCACGGACUUUGUAAUAGUGACGACAGGUAUCCUGAAAGGCUAGUUGGUGGAGUUCAAUUUGUACCCUUUCCAAAACCGAAGACCCAGUACGAAAAAUGUCUUCGAUGGAUCAAACUUUGUGGAAGACGGCAUGAUCAACUGAAUCCAUCUAAAAUCAACCGGGACAGAAGACCGAGUACGAAAAAUGUCUUCGAUGGAUCAAACUUUGUGGAAGAUCGUAUGAUCAACUGAAUCCAUCUAAAAUCAACCGGAACAGAUAUGUUUGCACGAAGAGUCCAGACAAUACCUGGGAGAAAGCUUGUAUUGGAAGAUAAUAAAUAACAAUAAGCACAAACAAGUACACAACUACAGAAUGGAAAUGUACCAAAUGAUGGAUGAGUGAAUGAAUUACCUUCCGUAAGUCGUGGCUCCUCCUUAGAGAAUUUGUCGUGUCUAUAGGACUUGAGGAGGCAGUAGUCCCGCAGGCCACGAGUGUGAGACAAACAUUGGACUAUUGCAUUCAAGAAACACUACACAGGGAUCAAAAAGCAAGCAACGUGAACAUGCUGACCCCAAAUCAUGCUUUAGGAAGAAAACUCUUUACUCACAGUGUUGCCAAUGUUUCGAAGACCAGCCCUUCCACUUCCUAAUGCAAGCAGCUCCUUCUACAAACAAAGGGAAACAAGACAAAACUGUUCAUUGCAUGAUUUGACCUCUGUGCGUCGGUCUUAACUCCAACGUGUCAGUGUUCCUAUUUGUGCGCACACCAGGACAGAUUUAGCCUUCUUAUCUCAUUAGCAAAACAAGAAAGUCUAAAAGGAGGAUAGCCUCAUAGAAUUGCUUUUCAGCCUCAAAUGAAACCCCCAGGAACAAAAGGAGGAUACGGUUUGGUUGCCAUUACUGCAAGACACACACCUCGUUGUCGGCGACCAGCAGAAGCCCCAUCAGGGAGGU